CGGAAUCUGCCUAUUUGCGGGGGAUAACGUAGGGAAACUUACGCUAAUACCGCAUACGACCUACGGGUGAAAGCGGAGGACCUUCGGGCUUCGCGCAGAUAGAUGAGCCGAUGUCGGAUUAGCUAGUUGGCGGGGUAAAGGCCCACCAAGGCGACGAUCCGUAGCUGGUCUGAGAGGAUGAUCAGCCACACUGGAACUGAGACACGGUCCAGACUCCUACGGGAGGCAGCAGUGGGGAAUAUUGGACAAUGGGCGCAAGCCUGAUCCAGCCAUGCCGCGUGGGUGAAGAAGGCCUUCGGGUUGUAAAGCCCUUUUGUUGGGAAAGAAAAGCAGUCGGUUAAUACCCGAUUGUUCUGACGGUACCCAAAGAAUAAGCACCGGCUAACUUCGUGCCAGCAGCCGCGGUAAUACGAAGGGUGCAAGCGUUACUCGGAAUUACUGGGCGUAAAGCGUGCGUAGGUGGUUUGUUAAGUCUGAUGUGAAAGCCCUGGGCUCAACCUGGGAAUUGCAUUGGAUACUGGCAGGCUAGAGUGCGGUAGAGGGUAGUGGAAUUCCCGGU
rnacentral:rRNA from 1 species